CGGAACUCGAAAGCCUGUCUCAGUUCGGAUCGGAGUCUGCAACCCGACUCCGUGAAGCUGGAUUCGCUAGUAAUCGCGCAUCAGCCAUGGCGCGGUGAAUACGUUCCCGGGCCUUGUACACACCGCCCGUCAAGCCAUGGAAGCCGGGAGUGCCUGAAGUAUGCAACCGCAAGGAGCGUCCUAAGGUAAAACCGGUGACUGGGGCUAAGUCGUAACAAGGUAUC
rnacentral:rRNA from 1 species